rnacentral:tRNA from 1 species
UAAGAUUUUAAGUUAGAUAAACUACUAACCUUCAAAGUUAAAAUCAUUAUUGUUUUAAUAAAUCUUAG